rnacentral:rRNA from 1 species
UACGUAGGGUGCAAGCGUUGUCCGGAAUUAUUGGGCGUAAAGAGCUCGUAGGCGGUUUGUCGCGUCGAAUGUGAAAACCCGGGGCUCAACCCCGGGCCUGCAUUCGAUACGGGCAGACUAGAGUUCGGUAGGGGAGUCUGGAAUUCCUGGCGUAGCGGUGAAAUGCGCAGAUAUCAGGAGGAACACCAAUGGCGAAGGCAGCUCGCUGGGACGUGACUGACGCUCAUGCACGAAAGCGUGGGGAGCGAACAGG